rnacentral:lncRNA from 1 species
UGCGCCACUAGUAAUGUAUUUGGAAAACAAAAAAAAUCCAAAUUUACAGAAAACAACCUAUAAGGAAAAUAAUUUAAAAACAAAAAAUGAAAUAGAAUCAUAUUUUUUAUUAUAGUAAGAAUAUUACAAUGUCUUUACAAGUAUCCAAUAAAAGGAAAAUUGCAAGGAAAUAAAAGAAAAUCCUAAAACUAAUCUUCUAGUAAUCUUUUCUUCUUUUUCUUCACUUUAUCCCUGCAAAAUGUAACAAAAUAAACAGAAAUACAAACAAACUAUUUAUUACAUGUCAAUACUGUCAUUUUUUAUGCAGAAUUAGAUAUGAGCAUAUAUUUCCAGAAUUACAUGGUGUGAAUAUUGUAUGAGUAAGAUUAUAAUGGAAAUGAAUUGCAGAGGACAUAUGAGGUUCAACACUAAUCAUCAACAACAAAAUCGUGCAAGAAAUGAUUGAUCAGUAAAUGGACAACCUUCUUAGAGAUUGUCAUGCGAUGUCCAAUGAAUCAACAGGAAAUAAGUAACAUGCCUUCCAAGACAUAAUUCACUAUUACACAUAAAUGUAUAUCCCAAAUUGAAGAACACGCUAAUAUGUAAUCAUCAUUUAGAGAUACCAAACUGGAAGACCAUUCAUUUGGUCGCAAAAUGACCUACUUAAAUAGUCCUUGACCAUCCAUCAUGCGCAAGAGCAAAGAUAAAGAUGGGCCUUGCAGCAGCGCCCAGCCCUUGGAACAGUCCAUUGCAUUACGUGGAACAUGCUCAGAUUAAGCACUAUAUCAUCACAACUUAACAAAAGUAAAUCUGAGACCCAUCAAAACUAAAGAUUCAUCCUACUUGAGGAUCGUCACUAAUCAUGGACACCAAAAUCUUCCAUUUGCAAGAAAUGCUUCAUGAGUAAAUGCAUAACCUUUUGGCAUAUAAAGCUUACACAUUUUUCUGCAUCCAGUAGCAAUUAGGUAACAAAAACAGUGAGCGGCUUAGAUGGGGUACAAAUUGAAAUAACACUGUCCAGCAGCAAAAGAACCAUAGCUAGUAAGUGACCAACACUGUCCACACACGCAUCAUACAAGACCAAGACCUCAUCAGGCCACACCCUAGCGUAUGAAUAGACUAACACUGUCCACACACGCAUCAUACAAGACCAAGACCUCAUCGUCGAUGUCGUCCAUGGAUGACUCCUACUCCAUCCAAAUCAAACAAACAAAUGAGAAGGGGCUGAGAUACAGAGCUAGCAACCAAUUUUUACAGAGAAGUUCUAAAAUUUUCUGGGUUCAUAUAUUCAGCAUGUUGACAAACAGAGGCAGUGUAGCGCACUAGGCUAGAGCUUAGAGCUAUGCAUGUACAUUGAUUGUUAUAGCAGUGCAGCGACAACUACUUGUUUAGAUGCAUAUAAAUCAUCUCCUUGCUUGAAGUAGAAAGAAAGCAGAGUAAAAGGCCCUGAAGAUGUUGACUACUCACUUAAUUAGAAGGUAGUGAGAGAAUCCCUUGCCCAGUUGGGACGAGUUUUAGACCGGCGGUGGAACUUGUUCUUGCCUGUUGAGGAUCCUCAAUGGACAAGAGAAUGAAGGCAUCAUCAGCUGACACACAAAAAAGGGCUCUCUGAAAACUAAAACGACCAUGGGGGUGCUGCUGCUUACCCGAG